ACAGUAAAAGGACUUCUAGCGAGU
rnacentral:siRNA from 1 species